UACACACCGCCCGUCACGCCAUGGAAGCUGGGGGGACCUGAAGUUGGUGGGCUAACCGCAAGGAGGCAGCCGCCAAAGGUCAAUUCAGUGACUGGGGCG
rnacentral:rRNA from 1 species